UAGGGAACCUUCCGCAAUGGGCGAAAGCUUGACGGAGCAACGCCGCGUGAGUGAUGAAGGUCUUCGGAUCGUAAAACUCUGUUAUUAGGGAAGAACAAAUGUGUAAGUAACUAUGCACGUCUUGACGGUACCUAAUCAGAAAGCCACGGCUAACUACGUGCCAGCAGCCGCGGUAAUACGUAGGUGGCAAGCGUUAUCCGGAAUUAUUGGGCGUAAAGCGCGCGUAGGCGGUUUUUUAAGUCUGAUGUGAAAGCCCACGGCUCAACCGUGGAGGGUCAUUGGAAACUGGAAAACUUGAGUGCAGAAGAGGAAAGUGGAAUUCCAUGUGUAGCGGUGAAAUGCGCAGAGAUAUGGAGGAACACCAGUGGCGAAGGCGACUUUCUGGUCUGUAACUGACGCUGAUGUGCGAAAGCGGGGGGAUCAAACAGG
rnacentral:rRNA from 1 species